rnacentral:ncRNA from 2 species
CGCAUUCUGCGACCGUCAGGUGCCCCGUGAGGGGAGAAUCGGGAAGCCGGUGCAAGACCGGCGCGGGCCCGCCGCUGUAAGGGGGAUGGAGCGGACAGAUGCCACUGGGGGCAGCCCCGGGAAGGCGUCCGCCCCGGCAGACCCCAAGCCAGAAGACCGGCCUGACGACAUGGACCGGG